rnacentral:misc_RNA from 1 species
CCGAGUUUACAAACUCCCAACCCUAUGUGAACCUUACCAAUCGUUGCUUCGGCGGGCUUAGCCCCCGCGCCCUCGCCGGCGCCGGGAGAAAGGCGCCCGCCGGGGACCCCAAACCCAAUGUUUUUCAUGCAGUAUUUCUGAGUGGCAAACGCAAAAAAUAGAUCA